rnacentral:lncRNA from 1 species
UAUCAUUAUCCAUAUUACUCAUAUUUAUAUAAUGCAUUAUCCAUACCAUAAGAAAUGAUUAUACUUUUAUUUUAGGUUAGAUCAUUUUUCUCUCAUUACCUCACCUUGUAAUCACUCAGAGCAUUUUUUCAUUUAAUGACCUAGAUAUCAUGAAGAUAAAAGUACUGGUAUAGUAUGAACUGAUGCUAGAUAUCUAAUGAGAAGCAACAACAGACCAAAAAAGCUCAAAAUUUGUACAAAAAUCAUGAAUAUAUGGAAAUUAUAUUGUCAGCUCUUUUUACGUUUAUUUUUAUAUGGUAGGAUAUAAAUCUUCUAUGUUGUCUCGAACCACAACUCUGAAUCAAGAUCAACAUAUUUACAUGUACCAGCAAUAAGAUUGCACAUUAAAAAUGUGUUCCCUGUUAGCAACAAAUUCUGAUUUUAAAUUCAAGACAAAAUCAUAAAGUCAUAUCAUUAUGCAAAAUUUUACAACAGUUGAUAACAAGAAGCUUUAUACAUUUUUCACAUAGAUUCCUUUGUUUAAAUAAUGUUUCAUGGUUGCUUCCUCUUGGACUUAAGAUUGCCACUGAAAGCACAAACUUUAUGAAGGACAAUAAAAUUCUUCACUAAGCAUAAUAUAAGUUAUAUUUAUGAUGUAGUUUCAAAGCAUCAGUUAAGAUUUAUUUACAAAACAGUUUGUGACUAUUGCAUUUAAUCUUUUCAGUGCUGCUGUUUGCAAGAAGUUGCUUGUAUGUUUUUUUCCAAUACAAGGAAGUAUUUAAACUAUAUUUCUGAGGUGCCAAGCCAAGGUUUGAUUUCAGGUCCACACACAAAUAACAAAUUUUAUUUAAACUAUCAUAUGAUUACCCAUACAUCAUAUUACUCUAGUCAGGGAUACUGUUACAAAAAGCCACCUAUAUGUAUUUUCCCAAAGGGAAUUAUGUAAUUCGGUGAUCAGAUAUGGCAAUGGUAGCCAAACUUGAUUUAUGAAAAAUCACAAUUUAUGAAGUGACAUAAUAUCCCCAUCCUAUUUAUAUGAUAUAAAUCCAAUAUGUGAAGAAACUGAAGUUUCUGAGGAGAAACAGGUCAAUAGCUUGUUAGAAUUUCAUAAUAAAUUACUUAAUGAUGGGCAGAGAUUGACUUCAAUUUUUGUUGUGGAAAAAUGUAUCAUUUGUAAAC